rnacentral:rRNA from 1 species
AUGUCAGCGGCAGACGGGUGAGUAACGCGUGGGAACGUACCUCUUGGUUCGGAACAACACAGGAAAACUUGUGCUAAUACCGGAUAAGCCCUUACGGGGAAAGAUUUAUCGCCGAAAGAUCGGCCCGCGUCUGAUUAGCUAGUUGGUGAGGUAACGGCUCACCUAUGCGACGAUCAGUAGCUGGUCUGAGAGGAUGAUCAGCCACAUUGGGACUGAGACACGGCCCAAACUCCUACGGGAGGCAGCAGUGGGGAAUAUUGGACAAUGGGCGCAAGCCUGAUCCAGCCAUGCCGCGUGAGUGAUGAAGGCCCUAGGGUUGUAAAGCUCUUUUGUGCGGGAAGAUAAUGACGGUACCGCAAGAAUAAGCCCCGGCUAACUUCGUGCCAGCAGCCGCGGUAAUACGAAGGGGGCUAGCGUUGCUCGGAAUCACUGGGCGUAAAGGGUGCGUAGGCGGGUCUUUAAGUCACGGGUGAAAUCCUGGAGCUCACUCCAGAACUGCCUUUGAUACUGAAGAUCUUGAGUUCGGGAGAGGUGAGUGGAACUG